rnacentral:rRNA from 1 species
GGACUACCGGGGUAUCUAAUCCUGUUUGAUCCCCACGCUUUCGUGCCUCAGCGUCAGUUACAGUUUCGUCAGCUGCCUUCGCAAUCGGUGUUCUGUGUCAUAUCUAUGCAUUUCACCGCUACAUGACACAUUCCGCCAACGGCAUCUGUACUCAAGACCUACAGUAUCAAUGGCACGUUCGUUGUUAAGCAACGAGAUUUCACCACUGACUUAUAAGUCCGCCUACGCACCCUUUAAACCCAAUAAAUCCGGAUAACGCUUGCAUCCUUCGUAUUACCGCGGCUGCUGGCAC